UACGGAGGGGGUUAGCGUUGUUCGGAAUUACUGGGCGUAAAGCGCGCGUAGGCGGAUUAGAAAGUUGGGGGUGAAAUCCCGGGGCUCAACCUCGGGACUGCCUCCAAAACCGCUAGUCUAGAGUUCGAGAGAGGUGAGUGGAAUUCCGAGUGUAGAGGUGAAAUUCGUAGAUAUUCGGAGGAACACCAGUGGCGAAGGCGGCUCACUGGCUCGAUACUGACGCUGAGGUGCGAAAGUGUGGGGAGCAAACAGG
rnacentral:rRNA from 1 species